rnacentral:rRNA from 1 species
UACGUAGGGCGCAAGCGUUGUCCGGAAUUAUUGGGCGUAAAGAGCGCGCAGGCGGUCGGCCAAGUCGAGUGUGAAAGCCCCCGGCUCAACUGGGGAGGGUCAUUCGAUACUGGUCGACUCGAAGGCAGGAGAGGGAAGCGGAAUUCCCGGUGUAGUGGUGAAAUGCGUAGAUAUCGGGAGGAACACCCGUAGCGAAGGCGGCACUCUGGGCCGGAACUGACGCUGAGGAGCGAAAGCGUGGGGAGCAAACAGG